rnacentral:rRNA from 1 species
AUUGAACGCUGGCGGCAGGCCUAACACAUGCAAGUCGAGCGGAGCGGCGGACGGGUGAGUAAUGCCUAGGAAUCUGCCUGGUAGUGGGGGAUAACGUCCGGAAACGGGCGCUAAUACCGCAUACUAUCAGAUGAGCCUCGGUCGUAUGUGCUAGUUGGUGGGGUAAAGGCCGACCAAGGCGACGUUCCGUAACUGGUCUGAGAGGAUUUUCAGUCACGUUGGAAGUGAGGCACGGUCCAGACUCCUACGGGAGGCAGCAGUGGGGAAUAUUGGACAAGGUGCGAAAGCCUAACCCAGCCAUGCCGCGUGUGUGAAGAAGGUCUGCGGAUUGUAAAGCACUUUAAGUUGGGAGGCGUUACCAACAGAAUAAGCACCGGCUAACUUCGUGCCAGCAGCCGCGGUAAUUC